GGGUAUCGUCGGAUUUGCAGGAUGGACUCAAGAGCAGGAGGAUCAAAAUGGGAAUGCAAAUGGUCAUAUGGCGUCUCUUUGUCUGCCUUGCCUUGUGCCACUGCCAAGUGAAGAAAUAGAACGCGCGCCGGGAUGGAAUACAUCAUGUCAAAGUCUGGAAUUAAUUGAGAAGAGGAGUACUACUGAUGGAUAAAGACAACACGGUCGACCUAGGCCAUAGCAGGGAUGACCGGGCGACCGGCCGGCCGGAUCCCGGAGAGCUGAUUCAGUCUCCAGCGACGGUGCUGCACGCGCAAAGAAGAAUCGUCACUACACAACUUGGGCCGAUCUCACGACUUUACAAGUUACGGCAGACUCCGGACUUCAGAUAUUUUCCCGUUCUGCAGAACAUGCUGUCCACCGUCGAGGUAUCCAUGGAAUCGAACCGAACCCCAGGGGUUUGGGGGAGUGGUUUCUUAUUUUCUUCUUGGAAGGGUCGUGAGCGCUCAAUAUGGGCCGGUCCUCCUGGGCUUUUGGCCCGUAAGCACUUCAGCGAAGGCACGGGAGCAGGUAGUAUAGGCCCAAGGCCCGAAGGGUGAGACAUUACGAGAACGGCAGGGACGACGACGAACGGCCUGAAUGUCCCGGGGGCGGGGGCGGCUCGGCCCGUCGUCUGCGUCAGCCAGACAGCCAAUGCGGCGCCCCGCCGGUCAGCUCGAGCAGUGGCAAUGGCGGGUCGCCGCGGUAACGCCGGCAACCACCAAUACGGCGCCCUGGCUGAGGCGCAUAGGCCCCGGAGGUAGGGGCCUGCUCAGGCUGCGGUGGCGCAAUGGCAGUCGCGCGCGGGAGCAAAUGCGGGAAAGGACGAGCCGGCGUUCCGGCCGUGCUCUGGCGUCGUCACUCGUCAGAUCCCCUGAACCCAUGCCAUCCGAGGAGAUUCCACUCCAGGAUCUCCAAUUCUCCAUGGUCCCGGUCUUGAGCCCAGGUACCGGUUCACUUUUGGAUUGCUGUUCAAAACUUCAAACCUUAAUUUCGCAGCAUUAUUUGGUUCAGGUGCGACUGUACAGUUUAUAUUUCUUUUUGAUGAAUCGAUGGCGUGUGACAUGGUUAUAGGAAUUGAUGAUGAUUAAACAGA